CCUACGGGUGGCAGCAGUGAGGAAUAUUGGUCAAUGGACGAGAGUCUGAACCAGCCAAGUAGCGUGAAGGAUGACUGCCCUACGGGUUGUAAACUUCUUUUAUAAAGGAAUAAAACGAGGCUCGGGUGCUUCUGUGCAUGUACUUUAUGAAUAAGGAUCGGCUAACUCCGUGCCAGCAGCCGCGGUAAUACGGAGGAUCCGAGCGUUAUCCGGAUUUAUUGGGUUUAAAGGGAGCGUAGAUGGGUUGUUAAGUCAGUUGUGAAAGUUUGCGGCUCAACCGUAAAAUUGCAAUUGAUACUGGCAGUCUUGAGUACAGUAGGGGUAGGCGGAAUGCGUGGUGUAGCGGUGAAAUGCUUAGAUAUCACGCAGAACCCCGAUUGCGAAGGCAGCUUACUAACCUGUAACUGACAUUGAUGCUCGAAAGUGUGGGUAUCAAACAGGAUUAGAUACCCCUGUAGUC
rnacentral:rRNA from 1 species